rnacentral:rRNA from 1 species
UGCCCAAUGAAAUUUGAAUGGCCGCGGUAUAUUGACUGUGCGAAGGUAGCAUAAUAAUUAGUUUUUUAAUUGGAAACUGGUAUGAAUGGUUGGACGAGAAAAAAGCUGUCUCUAUUUAAUUUAAUUAGAAUUUUAUCUUUAAGUAAAAAAGCUUAAAUAUAUUUAAAAGACGAGAAGACCCUAUAGAGUUUUAUAUAAUUAAUAUAUUAAAUUUUGAAGAAUUAAUAUUUUAUUGUUUUAAUUAUAUUUGGUUGGGGUGACUAAAAAAUUGAAUUAACUUUUUUUAUUAAUUAAACAUUAAUGUAUGAAUGUAUGAUCCAUUAUUUAUGAUUAAAAGAUUAAAUUACCUUAGGGAUAACAGCGUAAUUUUUUUUGAGAGUUCUUAUCGAAAAAAAAGAUUGCGACCUCGAUGUUGGAUUAAAAUUAACUUUUGGUGUAGAAGCUAAAAAUGUUAGGUCUGUUCGACCUUUAAAAUUUUACAUGAUCUGAGUUUAAACCGGUGUGAGCCAGGUUGGUUUCUAUCUUUAAAAAAUUUAAAAUAUUUUAGUACGAAAGGACCAAAUAUUUAUAAAAAUUAUUUUUAUUAAGAAUGUUAUUAA